AGGAGUUAACUGCUCCUUUUUUUCUUUCUUUUUUUCAUUUCAAAGUUUCUACCAGUGUAUCAGUGAUGGACAACGGAGAGACAUGCUGUAGAGUGUUUGCCUAGUUGACAAAGCUGCUUUUGAAUGCUGGUGGUUCUGUUCCUUUGACACUACGCACUUUUAUAAUAUGUGUUAAUGCUCUAUGACAAAAUGCUCUGACUCCUAGUGCCAAAGGUUCCCUUCAGUGUGUAUAACUGAACACUCAUCCAUCUGUGCUCUUUUUUUUUUUAAAUGGUGCUUAAAGAGCCCAUCCUUUGCAAGUCAUCCAUGUUGUUCCUUAGGCAUUUUAUCUUUGCUCAAUUGUUAAAGAAUGGUG
rnacentral:lncRNA from 1 species